rnacentral:lncRNA from 1 species
AUAUAAACAUAUAUAUAAUAUACACAUGAGUUAAGUUCAAGGAUACGUGUCAUCCAUCAAAGCCGAGUAUCACACCAAGUUAUAUGUACAUAUACAAAAGAAGAAAUCAGUUCCAACCCUCACACGGGUUUUCUAAGCUGGAACCGAACUACUAAGACGUCCUACCCCUCUAAAAGUACUACAAAAGUGAGGGUAAACUGAUACUAAGAUCAUCAAACAGGAGCGAAAGAUCCACUGCGACUAACUUUGGAGUGAUCUCCGAACAUUGUGCAAGAAAGAGGUCCAAAACGUGCUCCAUAUGAAGACUCCGCCGCGCGCCGGAUCCUCAUAGCUCAACGGUUAGAACGAAACUCACAGGGCUCCUCUGCCGGACCCGUCUGGGGAGGGGGAAAAGAAAGAAAGAAGGGUGAGAACCUAGAGUUCUCAGUAAGGAAAAAGGGGAACAUAGGGUCUUUAUCUCUAAGUUGUUGCGAAACAGAAAAAGAACAAACACAGAGACUC